CCCUUAGAUGUCCUGGGCCGCACGCGUGCUACACUGACGCAUACAGCGAGCACUUUCCAGUUCCGAGAGGCUACUGGUAAUCAUCAAUAUGCGUCGUGAUGGGGAUAGAUCUUUGGAAUUCUGGAUCUUGAACGAGGAAUGCCUAGUAAUCGCAGGUCAUUAGCCUGCGAUGAUUAAGUCCCUGCCCUUUGUACACACCGCCCGUCGCUACUACCGAUUUCGAGUGGUCAGGUGAAUCUUUCGGACUGUGGGCGCCCUUGAGGUGUUCGCGGAAAGUCAGGUAAAUCUUAGCACUUAGAGGAAGUAAAAGUCGUAACA
rnacentral:rRNA from 1 species